rnacentral:other from 1 species
CGGCGGCUGCGGGACGCGUCAGGCUAAUAUCCCUCUGGCCAAUAAAGUCCUUGAGGGAGCUGUCCCUUGCGGACCCCUGGGUCCGCAAAACGGCCCCCACCUGCACAUGCAGGCCUGAGAGGAUUACCAAGCCAACGGUCAUUGCGGCGCCGU